rnacentral:rRNA from 1 species
ACUCAAAUGAAUUGACGGGGACUUGCACAAGCAGUGGACCAUGUGGUUUAAUUCGAUGACAAACGAAGAACCUUACCAGGGUUUGAAACCUAGUUGAAGACCAGCGGAAACAUUGGUCGUCGCAAGACAAUUAGGCAGGUGAUGCAUGGCCGUCGUCAGUUCGUGGCUUGAGUUGUUCCCUUCAGUGGGGUAACGAACGCAACCCUCGUUGCCUGUUAUAUUUGUCAGGCGAGACUGCUCACGACAUAGCGCAGAAUUCCUCCAUCCGCCAGCCGGCGGAAGGAAUUGUGCUCUGCGUCGUGAGAGGAAGGUGAGGAUGACGCCAGGUCAGCAUGUCCCUCUGAUACCCUGGGCUACACACGUGGUACAAUCGCAUCUACAACGAGACGCAAUGGCGAUAAAAGCCGGAGCAAAUCUUCAUAAAAGGUGCGCCAGUUUGGAUUGAGGUCUGCAACUCGACCUCAUGAAACCGGAAUUGCUAGUAAUCGCGGGUCAGCUAUACCGCGGUGAAUACGUUCUCGAGUCUUGUACACACCGCCCGU